UUUGUGGGGGAUGUUGGCUGGCUCGACGCAACCACUCCUUACUUUCUUCUUCUUCGUCUUCCCCAUUUGAAUGAAAAGAAGAAGAAGAAGAAGAAGAAAUUAAAUGAAUGUUGUGAAGGCUUCGGACCAGGCUUCAUUCCUCUCAAA
rnacentral:pre_miRNA from 1 species